AUCGAACGCUGGCGGCAGGCUUAACACAUGCAAGUCGAGCGAGCGGCGGACGGGGGAGUAAUGUCUGGGCAACUGCCUGCUGGCGGGUGAUAACUACUGGAAACGGUAGCUAAUACCGCAUACCACAAGAUGUGCCCAGAUAGGAUUAGCUAGUUGGUGGGGUAAUGGCUCACCUAGGCGACGAUCCCUAGCUGGUCUGAGAGGAUGCACAGCCACACUGGAACUGAGACACGGGCCAGACUCUUACGUGAGGCAGCAGUGGGGAAUAUUGCACAAGGGGCGCAAGCCUUAUGAAGCCAUGCCGCGUGUGUGAAGAAGGCCUUCGGGUUGUAAAGCACUUUCAGAGAGGAGACGGUACUCGCAGAAGAAGCACCGGCUAACUCCAUGCCAGCAGCCGCGGUAAUUC
rnacentral:rRNA from 1 species